UUUUUGUGAGUGAUUCUGGUUGACUCCAGAUGUACUUCGAUUGCUUUAAGUAAAGAGUAAGAGUAUGUUCUCGAAAGUUUAACCUACAUCCCUAUGAUGCAGUCCUAGUACAGUGUAGAAGUAUGUUUGUAGAAUGAUCUUAAGACGUUUGUCGUUCAAGCCGAGGUGUCGUUGGUUGGUGAAUAACAUGAUCUUACUACUAAAAGAGACUUGGAAAUGUUUUCGGAGUUAAAUUACUAUAGUCUAAUGACUUGACUAAAGCAUGUUUCGGAUAGACUCCAACAAAGGUAUGAUGAGGGUUUUUGAACAAAGAGCGACACGGAAGUUAGCCGAUUGUCAAUAUCAUCGGUGUUUAAGAUGUAAUAAGUUUAGGAAAAUUUUAUCUUGAAGAAGGUCUUACAUCAUAUCAUGAGUAGAAAGGUUUUGGCCGCAUAAAGGCCUAACUAACAGUACUUACAGUACAAGAUAGUUACAUAGAAAAAUGCUACAUAGGACAUACACAGGAAAAUGAUUUCUUUAAACAAGGAAGGGAAAAUAAAGCCUUUCUUACUGACGGCGGUCAUCCCUCUGGUGAACUCUCAGUUCAGCCAAUUGACGUUCCAUACCUAAAUUUUGUAUUAAAGCACAAACACUAAAAAAAGUUGAUGCUAGCAAUAUAUAUAGCUGAAAAUAAGUAGGUAAAUAUUGUAUUAAAGCACAAACAAUAAGAAAAACUGAAGACCUAUAGUACUCCACUACCCUGAUAUUAAGCAUCCACUCCAUCCUAUCUGAGGUCAAAAAAGACAUCAAAGGUGAUGUUGGCAUCAUGGCUUACCAUUUACGCAUAUUCAAUAGUCUUUCAUACUAGAGACAAUGUGAUGUCAACAAAUAAAUAUUUCAACUAAUUAAGUGAUAAGCAUCAAAAAGAGACAUAUGAAAGAAGUGGGCACUUGGUCUAGUGGUAUGAUUCUCGCUUUGGGUGCGAAAGGUCUAGACCUCAAUUCUCGGAAUGUCCCAACAACAAACCCCAAAUACCAUAUAUGAAAUGUGACCCACAAUGGUGGUGAAAAAAGAAUGUUGGGGUAAAUAAAGAAAAAAGUAGACAUAUACUAUUACAAAAAAACUAUACUUGUUGAAGGAAACAAGAUUAGACUAGUUUGAAGAAUAGUAUAGUAAGUAUUUACCCAGAAUUUGUAGUCUUUCACUAUUGGAAUGUAGAAAUAGAUAUGGUAACAGAAGCCAACUUAGGAGUAGUACAACUAGUGACAACCUUAAUUCACACACUCAUUGUAGCCUCAAAUUAUGGCCACUCAGUUCCAGUGAUUCUACACAAGAGUAGAAUAUGUAAAACUCAAAAAAAAAACAUAUGUUGAAGCACCUCAAAGCUCACUACAGUCACAUAUUUCAGACAAUGUAAUCAUGUAAAUAAAUGCCAACUCAUGGGUAGAUAGAUACAUCUUUUUAUAUGAAGAAAUCUUGAUAUGAUGCAACAUCAUUUACCAGAAUAAGCAAAUAUGCAACUAUAUAGUAACACUAUUCUUUCAUUGUGAAGAUGCAUUUAGGCAGUAACUUGGUGAAAAUAUGUAACUUCAUUACCAGAAAAAGAUAUCUUUAUGCUAGCAUUUUUUUGGUGUGUAUGGCAUUUAAAUAAUUUUUUAAUAAUUGCAGAUAGUAUGAAUGGGUAUAAAAAUGCAAUAAUAGUAUGAACAACAGAGUAUGAGCAUUUGGUCUAGUAGUAUAAUUCACGCUUUGGGUGCGAGAGGUCUCGAGUUGGAUUCCUCGGAAUGCCCCCCUUCCUUCCUUUUUCUUCAACAUAAUUUUAAAUAUAAAAGAAAAAAUUAAUAAAUAAGUAAGUUCAUACUUUAUAGGAACAGAUGAAAUCUAUAUGGUACAACUUGUCAAUAUGUUAGUUUCAUCAGCAAUCUCCUUCCUCACAGCAGCUAAAAAAGUAUAUAAACGUGUAACAAGAUCAUGCAGAGAGAUUGAGAAUUACAAAAGGAUCAUAAUCUUUUUAGUCAUAAUACCAAAAUCAGCGAACUCUGCAUACUCUUUUCCUUCUUCAAUCUGAUGAAGCUGUAGAAUAAGAGGACGCCGAGUGACAAUUCCUGCAAAUAGAUGUUAAUAAUAUUUUAUAUCCAACAAAUUGAAUCAGAAAACUUUGAAGAUAUAACAAUUACCAGAACCAUAAGGAAAAAAAAUCCUUUCCAACUACACUCUCCAACACAGAUGAUUUUCCAUAGCUCUAAAAACAAUUUAUGGAAAGUGAUUAGAGUGAACUGUGAAGUACAUUUGCACGAAUAAUCAUUGCUUACACAAACAGUUUUACACUUUCAUCUAAAACAAGAAGUUAAAUGUAGUUGUGUCAAUAGAUAUGAACAACCAUUAUCAGGGGUUAGAAUUACAGAUCAUUGUGUUGAAAUAUGAAAUAAAGAUCAAAGACACACAAACACCAUAAAUUAAAAUUGAGAACCUAAAUGCUUGCAAGAAGAUUAAGUGAAUUAAGUCAUUGAUCGGAUGAAAGAAAUCUGAAAAGUUAAGAAAUUUUGAUUGACAAUUAAUAUUUGCAUAUUUAUACCUAACCACCGACGACUACGAUUGUAGGCAAGGUGUCCCAGAGAGUAGGAAGAGAGGAUUCUGUAACGCCUGUGUUUCCGGGCUUGCCACUUUUAGCAAUGUAAUAGUCUAGGUUAACCUUUGUAACCCGUUUUGAAAUAAUAAGAUUGUAUUAUUUGAGUAUUAUGUGUUUUGUGCUUAAUUGCUUAAUUAUGUCGUUUGAUUAAUUAAAAAUAAAAAUAAGCGUCAAAAUUUAAGUGUAAAAUAAACUUAAUAUCUUUGGUUAAUGUUGUAGUAGUUGAAACGAGGUUUCCAAAUAUAUAUAGAAUGCCCAACUCUGACUUCGUAUGAGGAAGUUAUGAUUUAUCGAAGUACCGACUUAGCGGCAUGCAGCCUGAAAUACUCGAUUUGAGAUCGAGCGGUUUUUAGCCGAAGCAAUCUAAAUGAGAAUCGAAGAUCUCAUUGUUGGUAUCGAAGCGAUAAAAAGUUAGGCAAGAACGGACGUCAAACGAAGAAGUUAUGAAUUUAUAACGAAAGUUUCUGUCGCGGCCUAUUAAAAAUAAUUAAUAAAAAUAAAGUCAAAAUUAGCCGACGGAGUCUAAACGAAAGUUGUAGAGCGUAGUCUCACCUUCGCGUGGAUAUAAAGAACGUCGAAAACGGAGUUCGUAUGAAGAAGAUAUGAAUUUCCGAAGAUUAUUAAAUAAUUUGUAUUUAUUUUUAAUCUUUAAUUCGGAAGCAUUAUCCGAAGGAGUCACCGGUCUGAUCCGAGGUACGCGCCGCGUACUCGAGUACGCCCCGCGUACUCCGAAAGUGUCGACAUCGCAGCAAGUGGCUUCGGAUGACGAACGCAGUGACGUUUUUCGGACCAGUACGCCCCGCGUACUGGCGUACGCCCCGCGUACGUGCGAGGCUCAGCCUCUAUAAAAGGAAUCCGAAGGCAGCCGAUAGUUUUGCCAAUUUCUCCUCUUCUUUCUCCCAUUUUGCAUCGGUUUGCGUGCCAGAAAUACCCCGAAGCCCCGGUAUUGUUCUCAAGCCCCGAAGCAAGUCCCGAGAUCCCGAAGAUCCCGAGAAGUGCGGUUCCCGAGCCGAAGCUCUGCCCGCGAGAAGUUCGAUUUUUGAAGAGAUCUUCCAGAUCUGCUGAGGAUUACUACUUCUGCAAGUCGUAGUGCUGUCCGAUCAUCUUCUGAUCAAGUGAGUGUAUACUACCUUUCAUAAACACAAUAAUAAUACGAGUUUGGUUUGAGUGUAUUAAGAGUAUUGUUGUUUAUAAGUGUGAAUGUGUAGUUAUUUUCUUCUAACGCAUAAUUAUUAAGUAUUUUCGUUGAAAUACGUGCUACGUGGAUAAUAUAAAGUUGUUUAUAUGGAUGGAUGUAUAGUCCCUUUCAUAAACACGGGUAUAAUACAAGUAUUGUUUGAAUGUAUUAAGUGUACGUUUGGCAGAGUGUAUGGUUACUUUCUUCUAACACAUAAAUAUGAAGUAUUUGGUAUAAAAUACGUGCUAUGUGUUUAUAUAUUGUUGUUUAUUUGAGAUGAGUAUGGCAUGAAUGUUUUAUAUAGUUUUAAAAUGAGAUAAACUGUAUGUGUAUUCUAGAUCUACAAAUAUGUUGGGUAGAACAUGGGUAGAUGAGAUAGUUGGUAUGUGAUGAAAUGAUGAGGUAUGAAAGAUGAUUAAGAAUGAUAUUGGUAGAUGCACCAAUUAAAGAAUGUCAUAAGACUAGCAGAUGUGCUGUAGAAUAAUAUCGGUAGAUGCACCAAGUAGUGAAUGUCGUAAUCCUAGCAGAUGCGCUUAUAGGAUAAUGUCGGCAGAUGCGCCAAAUAGAGAUUGUCAUAAUAAAAGCAGAUGCGCUUAUAGAGUGAUCCUAGCAGAUGCGCUUAUAGGAUAUUGUUGGCAGAUGCGCCAAAUAAAGAUUGUCAUAAUAAUAGCGGAUGCGCUUAUAGGGUAAUCUUGGCAGAUGCGCUUAUAAGAUAAUGUCGGCGGAUGCGCCUAAAAGAGAAUGUCAUAAACCUGGCAAUCGCGCCUCAUAGUGUAUGACGUAAUCCUGGCAGAGGCGCUUAAAGGAUAAUGUUGGCAGAUGCGCCUUAUGUAGCAAUGGAAGUUUGUGUAAAUCCCUUAGGUCAAUCCUUAGGAAUGAAGGAAUGACGAGUAGUUGAAUUCCUAGGGUAAAAUCCUAAGAAACAUAAUAGGGAUGAAUAAUUGAGUUGAUUGUUUGAUGGUUGAAUAUAAUAAUUGUAUUAUUGUGGGUUGAAAACCCUAUAUGCUCACCAGGCUCCCAAGCCUGACCCACUCAGUUUUCUUUGCAUUACAGGUAAUGGCACAAGAGUAUAAGUUGGUGGACUUGACGAGAGAUUUUGGAUUAUAGGCCAGUAGUUAUGAAUAACUGUUGUAAGGUCUAUUUAUUAUUGUUUAUGCUUUUGGUCUGUAUCGGAACAUGACAUCCCGAGGUUUUAUUAUUUAAUGAAAAUACAUUCUCUUUGAGAAACGUUUUAUUAAAUGGUUAUCAUAUUUUAUUUUGGGAACAAAUUCCGCAACCGUUUUCUUUAAACGAUCACUCUGAUUUAUAAAACAAAGCAUAAACAAAUCGGUCUUUUCUGGCCGUGAAAAUGGGGAUGUCACAGUUGGUAUCAGAGCAUUAGUUUAAGCGAACUAGGAAUUUGUAGGAAAUUUCUAGACUUAAACUUAGAAUGCUAAGUAAUGAUUGUGAGGAGUGUGUCUAAAAUAUGUUAGGUAGUACACCUAAAUUGACACAAGCACUAGUUCAUUUUAGGAAUGAUGCCUAAAAUGCUUUUAUGUGCUAAAUGUUUUGUGUGAUAGCUAUAUUGAUGCUAUUAUUUGUUCGGAUCUAUGGUCUAUUGCCGACCAGAUCUGGAAACCUUAUGUGUUUAGGAUUCUAAGCGUACGUCUACGAUAUUAGAACUAGCAUGUAAACGUUUCGGAGUGAUAAGGAUGAUUUGAAUAUCUAUCGUGAAUAAGGAUCUAAUUUCACCUUAUUGGGUGUGUAGAUCAAAAAUGGUGAGAACAAGAAGUGGGGUUGGAAAUGCUGAUGAAAACAGGAAUCAACCACCUGUGGUUGAGCAAGCACCUGUUGUAGCAGCAGCACCAGAGCCGAUGACAAUGGCUGGGGUGCAAGCGAUGAUACAGAUGAUGUUGGAUCGCCAAAUGGAGGAGACAAGGCGAUUACUCCAACAGAAUCGUGAGGAAGUGUCACUUCAAGUGGAAGAGCCUGAAGUGAAUGGAGGGCAUUCAGAGGGAGGUAACUACAGUGGGACGGUUGGACGAGCAGAACCCCCAGUAGUAGAAAGGAAUGACCCAGAGAGGGAAAGAAACAGGGAUGGGCGUAUGUAUAAAAAUUUCUUGGGCGCCAAACCGCCAAGUCUUUCUGGAAGCCCAAAGCCUGUUGAGAUUAUGGACUGGAUCUCCGAAAUGGAGAUGGUGUUUGAGAGUUGCGACUGUAGCAACAAACAGAAGACUGUCUUUGCAGUUAGACAACUAAAGACCGGAGUCUUGAGCUGGUGGAAGUUACUGGCAGAUAUGAUGCCUCGAGGGGAAGCCCUGAAGAUGUCUUGGGAAUCAUUCCUGGAGCAGUUAAAGAUGCAGUACUGCUCAGAGAUAGAUCUGAUUGAUCUGAACAAUGAAUUCCAGAACAUGAAGAAAGGUAAAUUGAGCAUUGAUGAUUAUGCUACUACAUUUACCGAAAAGAUGAAGUUAUUUCCAUACUUAGUGCCAUCUGAACUCUCAAAAAUUGAGAGGUUCGCAAAUGGACUGCCUGCCGACUUUGGCCCAACGGUCAAGAUGGCAACUACUUUGAAGACAGCAGUCCGAGCAGCUAAAAAUGUGGAGACCCAGUUAAAGGAAAGGGGUCUGGAGAGAAACGAGGUGGGUGAGAAAAGAAAGAUGGAAGGAUCUUCAAGGUCCGAUGAGAAGAGAAAAUUUUCGAAGUAUGAUUCGAAGAAGCUCGAGGGAGGAGCACAAUGGUGUGACAAGUGCAAAAGGAAGCACAUUGGUGAAUGCUCUAAAGAAAUGACCUGCUUUAAAUGCGGGAAGACUGGUCAUUACGCCAGCAAAUGCCCAACCAAAAGAGAAGUCUGCUUUAAGUGUGGCGAAGAAGGGCACUUCAAGCAAAACUGCCCAAGAAGAGAAGAGGCUAUAAGGCCAAAUGCACCACCAAAACCAAAAGCAUUCCACAUGAUCCUUGAUGAAGCAGAUGGCAAUGCAAGGAAUCAGGAAUGAGGAUUUUAUAUCCAAAGAUCAAGAUAUAAAGUAGCGAUAUGAAAAGUAACAUGUGGUGUAGCCUAUUAGAGGCAUAGUAUAGGGUGAACUUGAACUUUUGUGUAACCGUUUCAAGGAAAUAAUAUAAACCCUAGUUUUGCUAUCUGAUGUGUUGAUUGAUUAUGUGAUUUUCUUGUAUGGUGACUUGGUCGACUGCGGGACAAUACUUGGGACGAGUAUGAGUAGGUGUGAAAGGUAGUAGAUGCAUAUACUACCGGAAGCACAGGACUCGCACUUGGAUCAGGGAAAGUCGCAAGGUUACCAAGAAACUAGUGAUUGAUUCCAUUUUAUUCUGGUAUGUCAUUACCAUUGUUUCGGUGAUGACUAGUAAGAUGGUUCUUGUUCCGACCCUAGUGGUCAUGUUUAAUUUGAGUUCGACGGCGAGGAGUAUGUACGUGGUCUAGAGGACCGAGUUAGAUGUAACAUCUGACUUAAGUCAGAAGGUUGAAGUUAAUGCGAUUGAUAGUGUCGCUCUCGUUGUUAAAAGAAGUUUGUAGGCAGAAAUGCUACAUGCUGAAAUGUGAUUAUAUCGCAUUAGAAUAUGAAGGAAGGUAUAUUCCAUUCUGGAAUUUAACUUUAUUAAAGACCGAGUCUAAGCGUCGCAUCGUGCGAUGAGAGGUCGAUAGAGCACGACCCAUCGGUUUGUUACAUUGGAUAAAGGAAUAUAUUUAUCCUAAGAAGAAGAAAGAGUUCGCAAUAAGGACUUAUUUUGUAACUCGAAGGUUAUGAUUGAAAGUCCAAGAUAGUACGAAGAGCAGAUGCAGGAUUGAGCAUCAAGGUUAUUACUUAGAAUGGAAAGAUAACUUAUGGAGUCAGUAUGCGAAUCCUAUUUCGUUGAUGAUUCCGGGACGUAAUCAUCCUAAGGGGGAGAUAAUUGUAACGCCCGUAGAUCAGGGCUAGUCAAUUUAGAAACAAUAAGCGUCAAAAAUGACUUUUUGAUGGAAGAUUAUCUAGAAGGAUUAAUCUUAACCAAGUUGUAGUAUAUGUCACAAGGUUUCCGUGCAUAUAAAGAACGCCAAAAUCCGAGUUAUAACGAAGAAGUUAUGGCCCGUCGAAGUUUCGCGACAGAACCGGCACGACGCAAUGCAACGUAAAAAGUGAAUUUACGUUAGAGCGGUAUUUAGCCGAAGCAAUCUAAAUGAGAAUCGAAGAUCUCAUUGUUGGUAUCGAAGCGAUAAAAAGUUAGGCGAGAACGGACGUCAAACGAAGAAGUUAUGAAUUUAUAACGAAAGUUUAUGUCGCGGCCUAUUAAAAAUAAUUAAUAAAAAUAAAGUCAAAAUUAGCCGACGGAGUCUAAACGAAAGUUGUAGAGCGUAGUCUCACCUUCGCGUGGAUAUAAAGAACGUCGAAAACGGAGUUCGUAUGAAGAAGAUAUGAAUUUCCGAAGAUUAUUAAAUAAUUUGUAUUUAUUUUUAAUCUUUAAUUCGGAAGCAUUAUCCGAAGGAGUCACCGGUCUGAUCCGAGGUACGCGCCGCGUACUCGAGUACGCCCCGCGUACUCCGAAGUGUCGACAUUCGCAGCAAGUGGCUUCGGAUGACGCACGCAGUGACGUUUUUCGGACCAGUACGCCCCGCGUACUGCAGUACGCCCCGCGUACUCCGAGGCUCCAGCCUCCUAUAAAUAGGAUGCGAGGGCAGCCGGCUGUUUUGUUAAUUUCUUCUCUUCUCUCUCCCGUUUUGCAUCGUUUUGCGUGCCAGAAAUAUCCCGAAGCCCCGGUAUUAUUCUCGAGCCCCGAGGCAAGUCCCGAGAUCCCGAAGAUCCCGAGAAGUGCGGUUCCCGAGCCGAAGCUCUGCCCGCGAGAAGUUCGAUUUUUGAAGAGAUCUUCCAGAUCUGCUGAGGAUUACUACUUUUGCAAGUCGUAGUGCUGUCCGAUCAUCUUCUGAUCAAGUGAGUGUGUAGUUAUUUUCUUCCAAAUACAAUAAUAUGAAGUAUUUUAUAUAAAAUACGUGCUAUGUGUAUAUAUUUGGUUGUGUUAUGUGUGAAUGUGUAUUCACUCUCUUCUAUCUUAUAGAUCUGAUUAUUUCUCUAUGAGAUAUGUGUUAUGUGUGUGUGUGCCUCAUCUGUUAUGUGAUAUAUGUGUUGAUUAAAGCAUGCUAUACAGGUUUUUAAACUAUGUAUACAAAUGUAUAUUUUUAUCUACUAAUAUGUUGGGUAGAACAUGGGUAGAUAGUUGGUGUGUAAUAAACAGAUGAGAGGCCUCGUUGUUGUUUGAUUUAGUCAUCUAGUGGAGUUUAGAUGACGACCACAUACUUUUCUAGAUAGUCUUGUGGAAACAUUAGCAGGUUCGCCACCUGUAGGUGUUAA
rnacentral:lncRNA from 1 species